rnacentral:rRNA from 1 species
AGCAGCCGCGGUAAUUCCAGCUCCAAUAGCGUAUAUUAAAGUUGCUGCAGUUAAAAAGCUCGUAGUUGAAUUUCGGGACCAUCAUGUCGGUCGUGCCUAGGUACGUACUAGCAUUGUUGGUUUCUCCCUUCUGACGAACCAUGAUGUCAUUUAUUUGGUGUUGUGGGGAAUCAGGACUGUUACUUUGAAAAAAUUAGAGUGUUUAAAGCAGGCUCACGCUUGAAUACAUUAGCAUGGAAUAAUGAAAUAGGACGUUUGAUUCUAUUUUGUUGGUUUCUAGGAUCGACGUAAUGAUUAAUAGGGAUAGUUGGGGGCAUUAGUAUUCAAUUGUCAGAGGUGAAAUUCUUGGAUUUAUUGAAGACUAACUACUGCGAAAGCAUUUGCCAAGGAUGUUUUCAUUAAUCAAGAACGAAAGUUAGGGGAUCGAAGACGAUCAGAUACCGUCGUAGU